GGCCAUGGAACAACUGGCAAGAUUUAGAUCCAAAAUCCCAGAAAUGUUCCCCCCUAAAUUUAAUUAAUGAUCUUUACCACUUCUCAGCACAGUGGACACUCACCAAAUAAGAGAAUGGGACUACAAGGACUUGAGGUGCACUUAAUUACAAGAAAAAUGUCAGAGUCAGCUCUGUGUUUGUCUCGGGGUUGUCAGAAUACACCUGAAAUGUUGUUCAUUUGAAUGGAUUGCUGGGAACACAAGUGCCAGUCAGCAGCUAGAUAAGGGGAACCUUCUUCAUAGACCCUUGGGUGGUCCCUGGCCUUUAUAUAAAAAUCCCUAACCAUGUUCUGGAAAUUCCUAUGAAUUCACUACCUGGCUUAGAAAAUGCGUUUUUUCUGGAAACGAUCGACUAACCUGAGCAACGAGUGUGCAGAAAGACGUGGAAAAAAGCUGCACGAGGAGCCCUAUGAUGAGCAAUGAGCCUGCUAUUCCCCGAUUCUUUUGGCUGCCCCUACCCUGAUUGUACUGGUCCUGGAUGUGCUACAUACUGGUCGUGAGUGCAAUAUUAUAAAGUGAGCUUUGGAAACACUUUUCGAAUGUGAAUCAAGAGAUGUAGUUGGGAACAAGCUAUUCGGGCCCCUUAAUUAUCAAGUGUAGAAAAUUGCUCUGUUUACAUUGUGUAUAAUUAUAUAUCAGUGUUUAUGCCUCCCCUCUAACUAUGUACAUGUACAUCCUCUCCCCCUCUUACUCUAUGGACCUUCACUUUAUUCUCUGACUCAAUCCAGCAAGCCACUUAAGGAGAGGUAAGUAUAAAAUACACAGGUGCCAUGGUGGCUAUUUUGAGACGUGCAGAUCACAUAGUCCUGCAUACUAUGUCAGAGGAUGUUGGCCACGCGUCAUCUUCGUAUUGACAUUCCUAAGGUCUCUGCUCACGUUACCAUACAUAUUGAAUAACAGUAAAAAAGUUAUGGCUAACUCUUGCUUUGCUGAGCUCAUAACACCUGACCUCACGUUACCAUAGAUAUUGAAUAACAGUAAAAAAGUUAUGGCUAACUCUUGCUUUGCUGAGCUCAUAACACCUGACUAGCUGUGUCUGUUGCCUGGUUACCAAGAUUUGCUAGACUAUUAGUAGGGUAGAGUAUAAUUCAGCGGUGCUGUAUGUAGUCUGUAUUGUACUGGCUGGCAAGAAUUUGGUCACUCUAUAUGCACCGAUAACUCACCAGAAUGGAGAGGAUCGCUGGGGAUCAUCAUCUGGUUGAUUAAUGAAGCUUUAUAUUCAAAGUAACCAGAGAAAAACAUUUGCUUUCAGUCUCCAAUGACCGCGCAACACCAGCUAGAAGUUUACAUAGUUGUCAUAAGCUAGGCCGGCAAGUGGUACAUGCACGCCGCCGGUGACCGUGUCCAACCUCGUCUGUUUAAGGACCAUAGUGGUAGCAAAUGUGCAGCUGUUGUGUCCGGCUAUGGUUCUACAUAUUUAUGCUGCUUUUGUCAGAAUCAUUGGUCUUGGUUUUGCGGACAACACUUCUCUAAAUCUGUGAACGUCCAUUGCCUUUUCCCCGCACACAUAGAUGUUGAAUACUUCCCCCCUUACCUAAUCCCUCCUAACACACACCCACCCACAUCUCUCUAGUCCCCACCCCAGCCCUAGCUGAUGAGAGGAGGAGGGUCUGGUGUCAGCACUAGGGGAGAUCUUGUGGAGGGCAGGAGGAGGAAAGAGAGCUGUGGUUGGAUUGUUUAUGUCAUCAGUGUUUGUAUUAGAAAUUAUAUGGGUUCACCGAACUCAUCUCAGCAUUUACGACUGGUUGAUUAAUGAAGCUUUAUAUUCAAAGGCAGAGACGGGCCCCAGGAAAGCAAUACACACCCACGUACCAGCCUGAUUCCAUCGCUGAAAGGAUAGUGAACACUCGUUAGUGUUGAGCAAACACUUGAGUCGAUUCUACGAGAAAACUUCCGCUGAUAAUUGAGCAUACAUUCGAAAUACAAUGGACUCCUUUCUUCAGUCAAGGUUACCAUUUUGUCUGGAACAACAAGAGGAGAGGACUCAUUACAAGACCUUGCGACAAUACAAUAAUUAUAACUCAAGUACUUGUAUGAAAGAAUUAAGUUAACCUCCUAUUAGCCUCGAGACCAGGCCAAAUUAUUGCAAUUGAGACUUCGAGAUCACACGAAUACGUAUUUCCAUUAUCAUUUUCAUUUAUUUCCUCGAUGGGUGUCGCUCGCUCUCUGUUCUCCUGUCUUCUCCUCGUUAGCAACAGUAACAAUAAAGCCGCUGCUGUCAACAACUAGUACCAAGCCUGCUACGUUAUCCAUUCUCAGUCUUCAGUUGUUUACUUUACUAAGCACAACUGACAAGAUUGUGGCUGUAUUCCUAUUUUGAAUACCGUGUGGUCUUGGAAUUGAAUGAACAUGGAAUUAUAUACGCCUUCCUUUUCAUCGUUUUGAGAUUGCUUACUUUACUCGAAUAUAAUUAUUCUACCCCAACAUUAUUUUUCUCUUAAUUCCAUCCAGAUAAUUGAGCAUACAUUCGAAAUACAAUGGACUCCUUUCUUCAGUCAAGGUUACCAUUAUGAUUGAGCAUAUACAUUCACGAAUAGAAAUACAAUGGACUCCUUUCUUCGGUCAAGGUUACCAUUGUGGUCAAGGUUACCAUUAACGGAAAAUGCAACUUCAACGUUUUUUCAUCGUUUUGAGAUUUUUAUGUACCAAUAACAUCUGAUAGGUCACAGUGUGCACUCACCAAGUAAGAGAAUGCGACUACAAGGACUUGGGGUGCACUUACAAGAUGAUCGAGCUUUUAUUCACGGUACAAUAGACUCCUUUCUUCAGUCAAGGCUUGCGUUGGAAUGCGGAAUUGGGUGUGGCUACAUUCGGUUAUUACCUCAUUCUUGUGCAAACAUCUUAGCAGCCAUUGCAGCCAUUGCAGCCACACAUUUUUUGAAUGCCACGUACAUUGCCAAUUGAAAGAAUCACUUCCUGGUUCAGUUUUUGAGAAGGAACGCUCUCCUCAAUUGACACUUUGCAGUCACUCUGUUUGCUUCUCAUGAUCAGUAGCAAGUGCACAAUACCGUAUAAUCUGGUUAGUAAGUGCAUGCGCCUAUAUAGGGAAAGAGCAAGCCUCUUAAUCUAUGCGCUAUUAGUUGAUGUGCGCUUAUUAACCAGUAACAGGAACGCCUUAAGUUGUUGAAGUCCUUCUGUAAUUUUCUAUUCAUGGUGAAAUCUAUUGAAAUGUGCUUGUAUAGAAGAAUCGGCCAAAGAGUCAUUGGUAUUUGAGGAGACUACAAAGGAUAUUUGACAGCUAUAACUUCGAUAGUCUGGCUAACCACCAUACAACUGACUAUAUAUAGUGCAGAGGGGAGAGCUAGGGUCGUUGGUGGAGAUGCAUUGACCUCACCACUGGAGCUGUGCAUUCGGACUAAAAUAUUCAUCAUAGGAGAAGCCUAACCAAUGGAUGACUAAUCGAUGAAGGAGUUCAAUUAGAAGGAGGGAUUGGAAACUUUUGCACACAUUUAUAGAGUUCAAUACAGGGGUCCGACAGGCGCAAUGCAACUCAAGCAAUAACCCACGACGUGGGCGGAUAAUUAGUGGACGAGCUGCACCACGCCGGCCUGUUGUUCCUCAGAGUUCAAUGUAUAGCUUGCAAAAACAUCUGUAUUUCGGGCCUGGAAAUAGUGGGGAAAACCCGCGAAUGUAAAUAGACUAUGCCAGCAUCACAUACGUACAUGUAAGGCAGUGCAGGUGUGCUAAAACAAUUUUUUUUCUGUAGCUAAGAUUCAUGUACAAGAUUGGCACAAGGAAAGAAUAAUUAUUGUUACAGUCAAGUUAAAAAGAUUGUACCUGACUUUCGUGGACGGCCAGGUCAAUUGAUGGUGUUGGCGUGUUCGGAAGCAAAGGUAUAGAUCGGGGCCUCAGAUGCACCAUAGAUCGAUUGAGUAGUAAUCUAUGGAUGCACAUUAUGGUGGAUCUUAGGAGUGAAAAUUUUAGUCUACAGUGACCCAGUGGAGGGUGGAACUGUAUGAUCUUCCUUGCUUCUCAUAAUAGUGGAGAAGCGAUGAUUUUGACACAAACGGCACCCCAUAAAUUCCUCCAGCAGCUUCUUCUCAUUCGAUAGCAUUGGGUCUGGGUGGAGUUGCAAUAGCAUGUGGGUUGAACACCCUAACAUCAAUCAUAUAUACAUAGUACUCUACUAUCUAUGCAUCAAUGUACGACAAUGUCCAAACGAGCACCCUAGCUCUUCACGAUUUGGCUUUCACUCAUUUCUAGUUCUAGCAUAAGCCUUUUGAUUUUAAGCACCUUCCACAUCAUCAUAGCCUCGAGACCAGCCGUUCGUUAUACGAACGGCUGGUCUACCUCUUGGUCUACCUCAAGUUCAUGCAGGCAGGCAUGUUUUGCUGACUAGGCACAACUGUUGCAAUUUAUUACGUCACCGAAAUGUGACUUCAAAGAACAGUCUGUUUGCUUUGAUCAUAAUCUAUUUUAGCUACAAGUAUAAAAGUAGCUUGCUAGAUCAUGAGUCUAAAAUCUAUUAAGUUCAAUAUAGUGGUAGUCAAAGCCAAUGAAUACACUAGUGUGUGUAAGCUGUCAAGAGUAUGUGUUCCACGAUCCCUACCAAUGUGACUGUGGAGACAGACUGUGUAGCAAGUGCUACAACUCCUAUGUUGAGAGCGGCCAGAAAAAGUUCAUCUGUUCAUCCUGCAAUGAAGAGAACAUUGUGGCCAACUGUUUUCGAGACAAGGCAGUGGAAUACGAGCUUCGGAAUACCACCCUCAAGUGCCUGAACCAGUCCUGUCCCUGGGAGGGGGAGAGCAGGUUCUAUCAGGAGCAUAAGAAUUCGUGCAAGUUUGGAUCGGUACAAUGCCCCAACUCAAUAUACGGCUGUAAAGAAGAACUAAUUAGGAGUCAAUUACAGGACCACCUCAACAAUAAAUGCAAUUGCAACCCGAUCACUUGCCGAUGGUGUGGACAACGCACCCUCAAUGAAGACAUUCACGUUCAGAAGGAGUGUGAGAUGGCACUAGACUACUGCCCCAAUGGGUGUGGGGAGAGGUUACCUAGGAGAGAGAUGCUCAAGCAUACUAAAACAGUGUGCACUCACCAAGUAAGAGAAUGCGACUACAAAGACUUGGGGUGCACUUACAAGGGUACCAUCAAAGACCUAACAAAGCAUGCAAAGGAGUACCCCGCAUAUCACACCCAACUACUGAAAAUGGCCAAAAAAGAAAUGAAGCAAUCUCUUGAUCACCAAAUUGCCUUAAUAGACAACAAAACCGAUGAUCUGAAAUCUGAAAUUAUCAAAAUUCGAUCUGAGCUGCAGUCACGGCUACAACCAGUAACAGAUACUGUGGUAAAAGUUGAGUCAUCAAUUAUCCAACUACAAGAUGGACUCAGUGAGGUAUCUCUGCUAUUACAAACACUUCAAGCUGCCAGUUACGAUGGAACAUUCAUUUGGAAAAUCCCCGAAGUCACUAGGAGAAGACAAGAAGCUAGAAGUGGGAAAACCGUCUCUCUGUAUUCCGCUCCAUUCUAUACGAGUCGCCAUGGAUACAAGCUCUGUCUAAGACUAUAUAUGAACGGCGAUGGUUCUGGGAAGGGCACUCACUUGUCAUUCUUUAUCACCCUAAUGCGAGGGGAGUACGAUGCCCUCCUCCCCUGGCCAUUCAUACAUGCAGUCACUCUGACCCUGGUGGACCAGAACAAGCAGCGAGACAUUGUCCAGUCGUUCCGUCCUGAACCAACCUCCUCAUCAUUCCAGAGACCACGAAAUGAGAUGAACGUUGCCUCAGGCUGUCCCACAUUUGUCCUCGUCUCAGUCCUGGACAAUGUCUCCUAUGUCAAGGACGAUACCUUGUUCCUUAAAUGCAAGGUGUUAUUUUGGACCCUGGGGUCUGUCCACUGUGCAGCUAGCUAGCUACAGAGAAGAGAAGCAGAUAAACAAGGAGGAAAUUAUUUUGGGGGAAAGUGGAUGUCAAGCACUAUAAAACAGUGUGCACUCAUAAUCUCUGCACUCACCAAGUAAGAGAAUGCGACUACAAGGACUUGGUACUUAUAAGGAACACAAGAGCCAGUCAGCAGCAGCUAGAUAAGGGAAACCUUCUUCAUAGAUCCUGGUUUAUGGAGGCCCUUGUGGUGUGCUGGCAGCAGUGCAGACCUUUAUACUCAAGCAUCUUAUGUUCUCUGACUCUAGCAAGCCACUCAACGAGAGUCCCCGCCCCAGCCCUAGCUGAUGAGAGGAGAGAGGGUCUGGUGUCAGCACUAGGGGAGAUCUUGUGGAGGGCAGGGGGAGGAAAGAGAGCUGUGGUUGGAUUUGUUGAGUAAACACUUGAGUCGUUCCUACGAGAAAACUUUCGCUGCAAUCUGGAUUUUAAAAAGAAUGAAGAGUUGUUAAUGAUCGAGCUUUUAUUCACAGUACAAUGGACUCCUUUCUUCAGUCAAUGCUUGCGUUGAGACUAACAAAGGAAAUUUGACAGACCUACACUACUUCGAUGGUCUGGCUAACCAGGAUGAGACUAUACGACUGACUAUAGACAAUGCAGAGGGGAGAGGGUCGUUGGUGGAGGAUGCAGUGCACUCUUGUCAGUUUUGUUCUACUGUAGGUGGAGAAAUACUGCAUGUGAGCUGCAUGGAACGGAUCUGAACCAAUUGUUUGAUUGUAUGGCAACGGUGAACUGUAAUGAAAACUUAAUGGCGGUGGACGGAUCGAGGACACUUUCAUUAGAAGUAGUGGCUUUGGUUGCUUUGAUCAAAGUUAGAGGACGUAUUAGUGGUACUAAGGACGAUCCAGAUCAAUUCUUACAAAUUCUACAGCUCAGAACUGCAGAAGGCAUUUUUCAAGUGUUCUGGUCAUAAACCUUAAAUUCACUCACGAUUCAUGACAUUUCGAUCAUUACCUAUAAUUAUGGACAGAGGAGCAAUCAAGCAUUCACACCCCAUGGUCUCCACCGACUCAGUGGACCUGGCCCUGCCAAGUCGAGUUGACAAAAUGCUGUUGGGCGGGGCUAAAUGGGACCCGGAUGGAUGUCACAGGCAAUCAAAUUCCUGGCCUUGCUUUAUCUUAGUUGGGCAGAGCCCGACCGUCCCUGACGGGAGGUAGGGUUUCAAGCCUAUAUUAUCAGGAUAUGUCUUUGCUGCAACUAUAGUUGCAGCCCAAUCAGAUUGCAGCAUUUCUGCUGUGGUCUGUGUCACAUCCGUUGCGCAACCUCAAGCAAGGUCAAAUUGGUUAACACCCACUUCAGAAUAAUAAUAUUCAUAGAAUAAAAAUUAAUGAUUAUUCAUAGCUGCUUAUCAGCUGUUACAUAAUUAAGCAAGACAAAUCCUGACAUAAGCUUGAAACCCGGGGACGGUCGGGCUCCGCCCAACUAGCUUUAUCUGGCUAGUUCUACUACAGAGGAGGUCGGACAUCACUUGAACUUUCACUA